AAAUUGAAGAGUUUGAUCAUGGCUCAGAUUGAACGCUGGCGGCAGGCCUAACACAUGCAAGUCGAACGGUAACAGGAAGAAGCUUGCUUCUUUGCUGACGAGUGGCGGACGGGUGAGUAAUGUCUGGGAAACUGCCUGAUGGAGGGGGAUAACUACUGGAAACGGUAGCUAAUACCGCAUAAUGUCGCAAGACCAAAGAGGGGGACCUUCGGGCCUCUUGCCAUCGGAUGUGCCCAGAUGGGAUUAGCUAGUAGGUGGGGUAAAGGCUCACCUAGGCGACGAUCCCUAGCUGGUCUGAGAGGAUGACCAGCCACACUGGAACUGAGACACGGUCCAGACUCCUACGGGAGGCAGCAGUGGGGAAUAUUGCACAAUGGGCGCAAGCCUGAUGCAGCCAUGCCGCGUGUAUGAAGAAGGCCUUCGGGUUGUAAAGUACUUUCAGCGGGGAGGAAGGGAGUAAAGUUAAUACCUUUG
rnacentral:rRNA from 1 species